rnacentral:tRNA from 1 species
GCCGGAAUAGCUCAGCUCGGUAGAGCAGCGCAUUCGUAAUGCGUUGGUCG